AAACCAUACCUCUUCUCUGAGCUAGGAUUUCAGUUAGAGAGAUUUUACUGUUACCGACACAACUGAAGAAGAAGGAUCAAAUUUUUAUUUGAAUACAAGCAGACAAUCAACUAUGAUUCUUUCUACCUAUCACACCAUCCAGUCUGCUUUUUGCUGCUGCUGCUGUUCGGUGCAGAAAAGAGCAGUGAGGACAAAGUUGAGCCUGGACAAUGAUGAAGACUUGAUGGCUGGAUACUCAAUGUCACAACAGCUCUCCUAUGUGUCUAUCCAAAAGCACAGACAUGACAGGCAAUUUGUUCAGCAAUCAAAAAGGAAGCCACCACCAGCGUUACCCCCACACAUCCCUGGAGAGUAUGAAGAGAAAAUCAGAGUCAUUGCACUCUAUGAUUUUUUUGCCAAAGGACCCUGUGACUUAACACUCAGGAAAUCAGAAGAAUACAUUAUCCUUGAGAAGUAUGACCCCCACUGGUGGAAGGCAAGAGACCAGUACGGUAAUGAAGGCCUAAUUCCCAGCAAUUAUGUAACUGAGAACGAGCGAAAUAAUUUAGAAGCAUAUGAGUGGUACUGUAAAAACAUAACCAGAAAUCAGGCAGAACUUCUACUAAGGCAGGAGUCCAAAGAAGGGGCAUUUAUGGUCAGAGAUUCAAGUCAAAAGGGAGCCCUCACAAUGUCUGUGUAUUCACGAUCCAGUGGAAGCCACAGUGGAAAUAUCCGACAUUAUCAAAUUAAGCAAAACCAUUCAGAACAGUAUUAUGUAGCAGAAAAGCACCUCUUUCCAUCCAUUCCUGAACUCAUCCAGUAUCACCAGCAUAAUGCAGCAGGUCUCAUCACUCGCCUCCGACAUCCAAUUGGAUCAAUGGGAAGUUGUUUACCAGCAACGGCAGGAUUUAGUUAUGAGAAGUGGAAGAUAAACCCAUCUGAGCUGACUUUCAUGAAAGAAGUUGGGCGUGGCCAGUUUGGAAUAGUUCAUCUGGGUAAAUGGAGAGCACUUGUCAAAGUUGCCAUUAAGGCGAUCAAUGAAGGUGCAAUGUCUGAAGAUGAUUUCAUUGAGGAAGCCAAAGUCAUGAUGAAAUUAUCCCACCCAAAGCUGGUACAGCUUUAUGGAGUGUGCAUACAGAACAAGCCUCUCUACAUAGUGACCGAGUUCAUGGAAAAUGGCUGCCUGCUCAAUUACCUUCGGCAAAGACAGGGGAGGCUUAACAAAGAAAUGCUACUAAGCAUGUGCCAGGAUGUCUGUGAAGGGAUGGAGUAUCUAGAACGAAAUAGAUUUAUUCAUCGUGAUUUAGCUGCAAGGAACUGUUUAGUCAAUGCCAAGAAUAUAGUUAAAAUAUCUGACUUUGGAAUGACAAGAUAUGUUCUAGAUGAUGAAUAUAUCAGCUCUUCAGGUACCAAAUUUCCAGUCAAAUGGUCAUCUCCUGAAGUUUUUCAUUUCAACAAGUACAGCAGCAAGUCUGAUGUCUGGUCAUUUGGAGUUUUAAUGUGGGAAGUUUUUACAGAGGGCAAAAUGCCUUUUGAAAAUAAGUCAAAUUCUGAAGUUGUCCAUGAGAUUUCCGAAGGUUACAGACUUUAUCAACCAUAUCUGGCAUCACUCACUGUGUACAAAAUCAUGUACAGCUGCUGGCAUGAGAAACCUGCAGGUCGCCCUGCUUUUGCUGAGUUACUCCAGACCCUCACAGAUAUAGCCGAGACUGGAUAAUCAGACUUUCCAUACAUAUGUAUUCUCAUUGCAGAGAUAGCACGAAGUCCCUCAUGUGAUACUAUAAGUAAUUUAGUAUGGGCUGAAUUGAAGAACAGGACAGUGAGAUUCCAAAAUGGCAUGACCAGAUGGAAAAACAUCUCCACUUAAAGAGAUAAGUAACCCUACUAGCUUUCUACUAUUUAGCAGAACUUCUUGAAUCUCUUUUGAGCAAGACUGUUCCCUAAUGUCUAGCCAUGGAGCAUCCAUACAUUAAAUGAAGAGUGUGCAGGCUUGGGUGGAAUAGACAACCAUGAUUUUGGGACAUUAGGUCCGAGCCCAGUAAAAGUGAAAUUGGAGGUUUCACAGACCAUGCCAGGAGAGUGGCAAACCAGUGUUGACAGGCCCAUGCUGGGGCUAUGAGUAUGACUCUGGCCUGGUCUCCUCUUAUCUUCAGUAAUACCUUGUGAAUGAGUGGAAUUGGUGGGAAAGCAUAGAGGAGCCUGUCUGACCAUGGUAAUAAGAAUGCAUCUGUCAAGGAACCCAGGCUGUGACCACAUAGAGAACAGAACUGCUGACACUUUCUGUUGAUCCUUGUUGCAGGUAGUCUAUCUGGGGAGACUCCCACCAUUCGAAGGUGAAUCUAGCCGCAUCCAAGCAAAAAGACCACUUGUGGUGACUCAUAAAUGAUCUGCUCAGGUCCUGAUGAGCAGGGCAAAGUGGGAUCACAAUGUAUCUGCUGAGGCUGACAGUGCUUUCUGACUCCAGGAUUUCAAGGUCACUCAUGAGUCCUUAAGGCCAAGGAAAAUGCUAUCUAUCUGCUCUGAGAACAGAGAAGGACCCUCAAAAGGCAAGUCCUGCAUAGUAAUCUGGUCUGCAUAGAGUAGACCAGAAGACUGCAGCUAUGAGGAUCUGUGCAUGGAGACCGCAGAAGCCAGGGUCCUGGCAGCUGAGUUGGCAGCACCCAGCCCAGCCUUCAAUGAAGUCCCCACCACUAAUCUGCCUUCGUUCACCCAUGAACAGAAUUGCUGCCUCACAUUCGCAGGGAGCAGAUCUUUUAAUUUCUCCAGUGGUCCCCACAAAUUAAAAUCAUAAUGCCCCAGUAGAGCCUGGUGGUUGGCAAUUCUAAGCUGCAAUCCCCCCGUCAAAUAAACUUUUCUACCAAAUAAAUCCAGUUCUUUUGCCUCUUUUGAUUUGGGGGUCACAGCACGGUGCCUCCGGCGUGCCCUCUCAUUAGCUACUGUGACCACUAGUGACCCUGGAGGACCUCAGGUGAUGAGAGGAGUCCCUGACCUCCUUGACCCAAAUGCAAAAGUCCAUAAAGUCACUCUUUAACAAUUCCUGAUAAAUCUUUUAGUUGUCAGGAGGGGGUGAUGUUGUCUCUGAGGAAACCACCUCAUCCAGAGAGGACAAAGGUGAAGAUAAAACUGGUUGUGGUUGAACCUCUUCUGCAGAAGGCUUCUUCCUGAUGCUCGGCUCUGGGACCAGUACCGGACAUUGGGGUCAGGGCAGCUUGAUGCAAGGACUCACCCCAUCUGGACUAGGGCACUUUGUAGGAAUGACAAGGGGAGGAUCUAGAAGCUGGGGGAAACUCUUUGUGGUUCCAAAAGAGCCACUGAAAGGGGCCAGACCACAGUGACCUCCUGGCCACAUUCCCCUCGAAGCUCCGAUUGUGCAGUUGCGAGGGUACCUGGAGAGGAAGGAUCUAGGUGUGGAGUGGCAGGUCCUAUUCAGAGGUUGAGACACAUAUGAUCCCAUCUCAGAAUCCGAUGAAGACAACUCCCUUUCUGUCAACCACGGGGACUAGUUCUGAAAGCCUGGUGAUGGCUGGAGACACAUUGCUGUUUUUCUCUUAGAUGGUACCAGUGGACAGACUGUCCAGGAAGUAGGCAGCUGGUGUGGUAUCAAGUGCUGCACUGCAGUUGUUGGUGUUGGAUGGUCUAAUAAUACCAAGGGAGCCGAUUCCUGUACAAUUAGCAAUACUGGCACUGACGAGUAAAUUCCUUGCCACUGUAAAUGACUCUGGCAUAGCUGGCAGCAAAAUUGAAUCUGAUCGAUGCAGAGCCACUGAUGCUGACAGUUCCGUUUCUGGAACCAGACUCAAUGAUGCCUGUUUCGGCACUGGAUUCAAUGGUGCCGUCUUAGGCACUAAUUUGGAGGAGUGCCUCGAUCUCGGUUGCACUCUACUUGACUCCCUUUUGCCGCCCUUUCCUGACUUGUGGGGUGGAGAUCUUCCUCUUGAUGGUGCCUUUGUGGAAGGCUUAUGCUACUUUCUCAGCACAGGCGAGGGUAACCAGUGCCAGGACUCCCAACAGUCUUGAAGGCACACUUCUGACUGAAACUGCAGCACUCGGCCCCAUCUCAGACCAGCACAACUCCCAGUGUGCUCUCAGCGCUGCCUCAAUUAGCAGGAGCUUCAGCCUAGCCUCCCUAUCUUUUUUCAUCCUGGCCUUGAAGUCCCAACAAAUCCGGCACUAGUCCUUCAUGUGUGCUGUGCCUAGGCACUUAAAAUAACUGCCAUGUGGGUGGCUCACAGGCAUAGGGUUUGAGUAGGAAGCACAUGGUUUGAAGUCCAGUGAUCGAGGCAGGCCCCAGAAUGGGCAACAGAACCCCAAAAUAGGAAAAAAACAAACAUUUUGCUUUUACCUACUAAAACUAACCUACAACUAGACUGUGUACACAAAGGCUGAGAGAAAACUGCUCUAGCAAUUGACAGAGGUUCCAGUGACUGUCCUAGGCAGUAAGAAGGAACAGAGGGGGAGGGGCCAGCUCUGCGCUUUAUACCUUCACGCAGUGGUGCAGGGGGCACUUAAGCCACCCAACAGGUACUGCUGAGGGAAAAACUUUCUGUCAGUUAUGUGCUGGACGCACAGACACCAAGAAUGGAAUGCACAUGUGCAGUCACUCAAAGAUAAGAAUGAUCUUUGCAGCAUCAUUCUGAGUGAGCACAACUGCAUUUAUGAAGGUCACAGAGAAGGAUGUUGCAGUAAUUCAGACUAUUAUUAUUUUUACUCUCCUACCCCAAAUGACUAUCACAUUCUUGCAGAGUCCAAUUCUUUCAGCACUUCUUGUUGCUCUGGCCUUUAAUCCUUCACCUUUACUGUCCCAUCCAGAAAAAUCUCUUGAAAUAUUUAGUACCUCAUGCGGAAACUAGUAUGUAAAGUCUGAUUGUGCAACCCAUAUUAAUGGUUAGUAGUACCUUAGUGACUCAUCCCAUUUUCUUCAAUGAGACGUCUCACAGCAUAAGAUAUUACUCAACAUGCAUAAAUUUUGAAGAAUCUGACCCUUCAGAGGGAUUUUUUUCAGUUUUCAUAUAGAGCCCAAACUAAUACAAUUAUUCUUUUUGUUGUUAUUAGAGAGAUUAAUUUCACAACCAUUAGCAAAUCACAGAGUUGAAAUUCUGAUCUGGAUAUAAUGAAUGAUGCACAGACUCAAUCUGCAUAGAUAAUGCAUCUUUGACUGCCUCACCUGGACUCUACCUACUAAUCAGGUUCUCACAUCACAUGUUCUAAGAUUUCAAACUAUUAAACGUCUUCAAAUACCCACCAACAAUCACUCAGAGAAAGUAGCGUUAUUUUUGUCAUGAAAGAGAGCAGAUACACAGACAAAGCAUUUUCCCAGAUGGAAUCUUUUUGUCAUUGCCUGCCUAUGUUUCUAAACUUUUCUCAGGAUAUUAGGUAUUAUUCUGGUCUUCAUUGGAUGUCUGUUUCUCUCUCUCUCUCUCUCUCUCUCUCUCUGUUCAGACCAUGUCAUUCCUUUCUAGGAGUCCCUUUCCUGACUUCUUCCAUAUUAAAUUCAAGCUCCUUAUUGUCAAGGCUUCACACAGCUUCACUUCAGCCUACACAUCAGAUCUUGGAUCCUUCUAUCCUCAUUCUUGUGUUGUAUGCUUCAUCUGCCCCUCUCACGAGUCUGCUCCAUUAAUAUCCUGCCUGUGCUCAUGACUUCGUGCCUUUUUCAUAUUGCACUCUAUGCUUGGAAUAGACUAAACCCCUCCUUUUCAUCAAGUGCCAUCCUCUCUCUCCCUUCCAACUAAUUUCUUUCAGCUUCUGAUCAUUACUUAUGUUACAACAUUCCACUUCUUCUCUUACCCAUGAGUAUAUCAAAGAGGGAGGGAAAUUGCAAAGCAACCAUGAUGUCCCUAGCCUCUCUUUGCUAGAAGCUGGGAGUGGGUGACAGGGGAUGGAUCACUUGAUUAUCUGUUCUGUUCAUUCCCUCUGGGGCACCUGGCAUUGGCCACUGUCAGAAGACAGGAUACUGGGUUAGAUGGACUUCUGGUCUGACCCAGUAUGGCCAUUCUUAUGUUAUGUUCAUCCACAAUUUAUCUGUAAGAAGAAAAGCUUGAAAACCCAGCUCUACAUUAAACAAUGUUACCAACAAAAGCAGGUUUUCCUUCUCUCUUGGUUUUCUAUUGUCUCUCUCCUCCUCAUUGUCUGUCAAUUAUUCAUUUGAUUUAGAUUGUAAGAUCUUUGGGUCAGGGACCUCGCCUUGUUACUUGUCUGUAAUCAUCCCACAUAUGUUGCUUACCACAUAGUUUUCAGGACAAAUUCGGGGGUGGGGGGGGAACUGACGUGGUCUGUGUAUAUAAUGUUUGCAGUAACUUCCAUUCAGUAUAAUCUGCAAGUUUGAUUAGCAUGUGCCUCUCCUCUCCCUCUAACUGAAUAGUGAUCACUGCAGCCCCCCACUUGAUGCAUCCCACAAACAUGCUACAAUGCCAUUUACCUUUUGUUUGUGGUUAUUUAACCAGUGUUCAUUGUGUGUGUCAGUGGAACCAUACUUAUCCUGUCCUUACAUGGUCCACAUCACCAUGCCAUCUGUGUGUCCUUGUGCUGGUGAAUGUUAUUGUAACAAUAUAAAAGGCAGUAGCCAGCCUGGCAUGAUGGAAUGAUAACUUAGUGAAGCAAGUUUUACAGUAUGUACUAAUAAAAAGUAAGUUGUUGACUCAUUCUGAA